GACUCACCCUUGUCAUGUCUUGCCCUGUCCUAGCCUCCUCUGAAGGUUCCAAGCUACAGCCCUGCAGCUGUGUGGGGAUUAAACUGACUCCUCCAACACUCCCUUCUCUCCCACGGUUCCUGCCCUGUCUUCCCCACACCUCAGGCAGCCACGAGGACACAAGGUUCCAGCCAAGGAGGAAAACGGGGGAGGUCCCUCAUCUUCCCAUACCCCACCCCUAAGUGGUUUCCACCGGAUCUGUGUGUUAUUUUUAUUUUCUUUGCUUUGGUCUAUACAAAAACAACCAAUAACCAAAAACAUAAAGCGAUAAUAAUACACUCUCGGCUGGGACCCCUGCCACCCUCCCAUACCCAUGUGCAAGGGAUGGUAGGGGAGUCUGAAACAGGAAGGGAAGAGAAAGCCCCUCACCGCACACCAGAGGGGUCAGCAAGAGCACUUCUGGGGGUCAGCUGGGGCAGUGGGGGGGGUCAGGGUGGGAGAUGUCCCCAGAGCUUCUCCAGGAGGGGCAGAAGUCAAUUUAGGAUCCUAGAGAGAUUGGUGGACGUCCGUUAGAGUAGGGGAGUCACUUUCUGCAUCUCCGUCCUGUCUCCCUGGAAGGUCCCUGAAUUUUUCAAAAGAAGCUUUGGAUUUCAGGGGUUUGGGCCCUGAGCCUGGGUCCUGGAGAUCCUGGGGCCUCAGAGCAGUUGGUCAGGGGAGUUUGGUGAGAAAACCUGACCCAGAGAAGGGUCCAGGCAACUGGGGACAAACAGGUCAGGAGGGCUGCUGGGGGACACAGGGUGGGCGGCUGAAUCUAAAGCUUUAGCGGCCACGGCCACAGAAGUGGGGCAGGGAGGUCAGGCGGGCCCUGAACCCACAGCCCAGGGCAGAACACCAUCCCAAGAAACCCUGGGAGGACUUCGGAAGGCGUGGAGUCCAGCAGGAAGUCACAGCCCGGGCUCCCACGGCUCAGGCACUUUUCUGUCUCACCCCAUCACCUGCACAAGAGCCUCUCAGGCGAGGAACCGCAUCUGCCAGGGGCACAGACCCAGGGACCAGGGACUUGGUGUCCCCCAGAAAGCUCAGGCCACUCCCAUGACACUCGCCCACCACCCCAGAAGGGCCAGUUGUCUUUCCUUAGAAAGAAGAGGCUGGAAGGAGCAGGACUCCAGCCCCAAGCAAAGGUACAAGGAGGAGGCAGCCAGAGCAUGCCUUACUUUGGGAAGCUCAGCGGCAAGGGGCUCCCAUACUCCUUCCCCCCCCCCCCCCC
rnacentral:lncRNA from 1 species